rnacentral:rRNA from 1 species
CCAAUAGCGUAUAUUAAAGUUGUUGCAGUUAAAAAGCUCGUAGUUGAAUUUCGGGAUCAAAUUGUCGGUCGUGCCUCGGUACGUACUGGCGUUAUUGGUUCCUCCCUUCUGAAGAACCACGAUGUCAUUAAUUUGGUGUCGCGGGGAAUCAGGACUGUUACUUUGAAAAAAUUAGAGUGUUUAAAGCAGGCUCGCGCUUGAGUACAUUAGCAUGGAAUAAUGAAAUAGGACGUUUGAUUCUAUUUUGUUGGUUUCUAGGAUCGACGUAAUGAUUAAUAGGGAUAGUUGGGGGCAUUAGUAGUCAAUUGUCAGAUGUGAAAUUCUUGGAUUUAUUGAAAACUAACUACUGCGAAAGCAUUUGCCAAGGAUGUUUUCAUUAAUCAAGAACGAAAGUUAGGGGAGCGAAGACGAUCAGAUACCGUCGUAGUCUUAACCAUAAACUAUGCCGACUAGGGAGCGGAUGAUGUUAAUUUUUUAAUGACUCAUUCGGCGCCUUACG